rnacentral:lncRNA from 1 species
AGCGGGGAGGAGCUGGGGCAAAGCUGAAGGGGAUGGCUCUGAGGCCCUGGGAGCCCAGGCCAGAUGGGCUCAGCCAGCUCCUUGGUGGAGGCCAGGCAGUGCCCUUUUGAGCCCCUGACCUAGGCCAGGCCGCGGCGGGAGGCGGGGAGCGGGCAGGGCCUCUGGGCCGAGUCCUGCACCUUGGGGCGACCGCCCAGGCCCGCUCCCCUCCUCCAAGCCACCCUGGGACUGGUGGCUGAGUCCCUGGGGGCAGUCUUUGUGGGAUGUUUUCUGCAGGUGAGAGGAAGGAUCCCCGCCGGGUGUCUUGCUGCCUCUGGCACCUGACCUGUUCCAGACAAAGCCACCUUCCGCUCAGAAGUCUUUUCCUGUCCUCUCCCAGGCAUAGCUGCGGCAUCCCCUGCUCCGCCUGGCCCGAGUGUCAGGCCCUCGUGUCUGUGAGUUCUGGUGGCACUCUGUACCUGCCCGCCCCGUCCUCCCCAGGGCUCGUCCUCCCCAGGGCUCUUCCUCCCGGGCGGGUGGCUGCUGUCCCGGAGACCGUGGCCCCUGCAGGGGCGCAGAGUCCCUUGAAGGCAAGGACAGAGUCUCCUCGGCUCUGUAAGCCCGGUGCCCGGUGGUUGCUCUGGAAAAGUGGCCUCGGCAGAGGCCUGCUCUCUCUCCCAGGGGGCUGCGCGUCCUCUCUCCUUCCAGAAGCCCGAGGACACAGGACUGCUGGCCAUGAGGUGAGGGACAGAGGGUGUCUUUGUGGAUUUUCAGCCUCAGGGCUGCGGGGACCCUAAGGCUCACGCGAUACCCAGCUCCCUCCUGCCGGCGGCCCCUCCUGGGCCUGUCGCCCUCGGAAGGGUGUCCAGCUGUGGCCAGGCAGCCCAGAGUCUCCUGGGAGUGACGUCACAUCACCAGGGAGGGUCCCCGGGUGGUGGGCCCUGGUGUCGCCCCGAAUGCUGUCGUUGGAGCCCAGGGCACCUGCUCAGAGUCAGCUCCCCUUUCCGGCCCCGUGCCCAGGUCACCAGCAGAACUCACGGUGCCCGCCGCCCUUCUAAGCACUGGCCUUUGGGCCCCUUCUAGUCCCCA